UGGUGACUAUAGCAAGGAGGUCACACCUGUUCCCAUGCCGAACACAGAAGUUAAGCUCCUUAGCGUCGAUGGUAGUCGAACAAAACGUCAAAAUAAAAGCAAACA
rnacentral:rRNA from 1 species